CUCGUCGGAUGAACGCUGGCGGCGUGCUUAAUACAUGCAAGUCGAACGAGUUCUGAUUAUUGAAAGGUGCUUGCAUCUUGAUUUAAUUUUGAACGAGUGGCGGACGGGUGAGUAACACGUGGGUAACCUGCCCUUAAGUGGGGGAUAACAUUUGGAAACAGAUGCUAAUACCGCAUAAAUCCAAGAACCGCAUGGUUCUUGGCUGAAAGAUGGCGUAAGCUAUCGCUUUUGGAUGGACCCGCGGCGUAUUAGCUAGUUGGUGAGGUAACGGCUCACCAAGGCAAUGAUACGUAGCCGAACUGAGAGGUUGAUCGGCCACAUUGGGACUGAGACACGGCCCAAACUCCUACGGGAGGCAGCAGUAGGGAAUCUUCCACAAUGGACGCAAGUCUGAUGGAGCAACGCCGCGUGAGUGAAGAAGGCUUUCGGGUCGUAAAACUCUGUUGUUGGAGAAGAAUGGUCGGCAGAGUAACUGUUGUCGGCGUGACGGUAUCCAACCAGAAAGCCACGGCUAACUACGUGCCAGCAGCCGCGGUAAUACGUAGGUGGCAAGCGUUAUCCGGAUUUAUUGGGCGUAAAGCGAGCGCAGGCGGUUUUUUAAGUCUGAUGUGAAAGCCCUCGGCUUAACCGAGGAAGUGCAUCGGAAACUGGGAAACUUGAGUGCAGAAGAGGACAGUGGAACUCCAUGUGUAGCGGUGAAAUGCGUAGAUAUAUGGAAGAACACCAGUGGCGAAGGCGGCUGUCUGGUCUGUAACUGACGCUGAGGCUCGAAAGCAUGGGUAGCGAACAGGAUUAGAUACCCUGGUAGUCCAUGCCGUAAACGAUGAAUGCUAGGUGUUGGAGGGUUUCCGCCCUUCAGUGCCGCAGCUAACGCAUAA
rnacentral:rRNA from 1 species